rnacentral:rRNA from 1 species
UGUGUAGGCGGUAAAUCAAGUCAGAUGUGAAAUUCCCAGGCUUAACUUGGGGCGUGCAUUUGAAACUGGUUUACUUGCGUAAAGAAGAGGUAAGUGGAAUUCCUAGUGUAGCGGUGGAAUGCGUAGAUAUUAGGAGGAACACCAGUGGCGAAGGCGACUUACUGGUCUUUUACUGACGCUGAGGCACGAAAGCGUGGGGAGCAAACAGGAUUAGAUACCCUGGUAGUCC